AUGUGGUUUAAUUCGAUGAUACGCGAGGAACCUUUACCUGGGCUUAAAUGUAGAGUGCAUUUUUUAGAGAUAGAAAUUCCCUUCGGGGCUUUCUGCAAGGUGCUGCAUGGUUGUCGUCAGCUCGUGCCGUGAGGUGUUGGGUUAAGUCCCGCAACGAGCGCAACCCCUACUGCCAGUUACUAACAGGUGAAGCUGAGGACUCUGGCGGAACUGCCGGUGACAAACCGGAGGAAGGUGAGGAUGACGUCAAAUCAGCACGGCCCUUAUGUCCGGGGCUACACACGUGUUACAAUGGUCGGUACAGAGGGCAGCUACCUGGUGACAGGAUGCUAAUCUCGAAAACCGGCCUCAGUUCGGAUCGAAGUCUGCAACUCGACUUCGUGAAGCUGGAUUCGCUAGUAAUCGCGCAUCAGUCAUGGCGCGGUGAAUACGUUCCCGGGCCUU
rnacentral:rRNA from 1 species